CCUACGGGUGGCUGCAGUGAGGAAUAUUGGUCAAUGGACGGGAGUCUGAACCAGCCAAGUAGCGUGAAGGAGGACUGCCCUGUGGAUUGUAAACUUCUUUUAUAUGGGAAUAAAACGUUCCACGUGUGGGCUUUUGUGUGUACCUGAUGAAUAAGCAUCGGCUAACUCCGUGCCAGCAGCCGCGGUAAUACGGAGGAUCCGAGCGUUAUCCGGAUUUAUUGGGUUUAAAGGGAGCGUAGGGGGAUUGUUAAGUCAGUUGUGAAAGUUGGCGGCUCAACCGUAAAAUUGCAGUUGAAACUGGCAGUCUUGAGUAGAGUAGAGGUGGGCGGAAUGCGUGGUGUAGCGGUGAAAUGCUUAGAUAUCACGAAGAACUCCGAUUGCGAAGGCAGUUCACUGGACUGCAACUGACACUGAGGCUCGAAAGCGUGGGUAUCAAACAGGAUUAGAUACCCGAGUAGUC
rnacentral:rRNA from 1 species